UACGUAGGGGGCAAGCGUUGUCCGGAUUUAUUGGGCGUAAAGAGCGUGUAGGCGGUUUGGUAGGUCCGCUGUGAAAACUCGAGGCUCAACCUCGAGACGCCGGUGGAAACCAUCAGACUAGAGUCCGGAAGAGGAGAGUGGAAUUCCUGGUGUAGCGGUGAAAUGCGCAGAUAUCAGGAAGAACACCCGUGGCUAAGGCGGCUCUCUAGUACGGUACUGACGCUGAGACGCGAAAGCGUGGGGAGAGAACAGG
rnacentral:rRNA from 1 species